ACCUGGGUGGCUCAGUUAGUUAAGCAUCUGUCUUCAGCUCAGGUUCUGAUCCCAGGGUCGUGGGAUCAAGCCCCACAUCAGGUU
rnacentral:tRNA from 1 species